GCCCUUGCCUUGUAGACCUCAAGAAAAUAGCUGCGGAGAGGUGAGGGGCUAUUUGGAGAAGGUCAGUUCUGAGCAACCUUUGCAGAGCGAGCAGGGUUUGACCCAGCAGAGAUGUGGAAAAGCUAGAAGCAGAGAGAGGAGGAAAGACUAGGAAACAAGGUGUCCAGAGUGAGGGGCUCAGCUGUCCAGAAGGAAGCCAGCAAGGACUCCAUUACAGUUGGGACAACCUGGGGCGGAGCCCCACGGAGGAAGAAGAGAACGGUGGAAGUAAAACUUCUCUGCCAAGUAAGGUAGAAGGAAGAGGGUGAUUUCCAUUUAUACUGCUAUAGGAGAAUGUUCUUUGUUGACAUGGAUCCCCACUGUGCUGUCUCUGAGGAGUGUCUAUCAUGGCAGGUACUGGCAUUGAAACAACACUGGCUGAUCUGCAUCUCUGUGAAGGGUGACACAUUCGUUCUCCCCAGUACUUAACUGAGAAGAGCUUUCCUGCCAAAGCAGAAGAUAGGUGCUGGAGGACACAAAGAUGUGGCUGUGACUGCCUGCUGGCCUCAGGGCAUGAGAAAAGCGGCCGAGUAAAUACAUACAGACAUUUACAUACAAAGUAAAGGAAUGGAAGUAAGUACAAAGUGCCUUGGGAACACAAAUAAGGAAGUAACUUGCUUUGAGUGGCAAAUCUGGCUUCACCAAAGAGGUUAAGUUUUGAAGGAUGAAAGGAGGUUUGCAGGGAAGGAGUAAAACAUCCAGGCAGAGGGAAUGUGACAGAAUGCACAGUAGCCCAGGUGAUGGCAUCUAGGGGAGGGCAGGUGGGUGGAGGAGGGCUGGUGGAGAGGCAGCUGCCACUGUCCACGGGGACCAGAUUAUGAAAAGCCUUGUUUGCCAUUUUUAUAAGGCAUUUGGAUUUCAUUCUAGUCACAACAUGGAGUCUACGCAGGCUGCUAAGCACAGGAAUGUCAAACAUCUGUGUUGUAUUAUAAUUUUGGCAUCGAUGUGGCAGAUGGAUGGGGACGCCCGGUUUAAGAGACCACAGAUUGUAAGGACCUGAACUAGACAAAUGGUGGGGGUCAUGGGUUGGGAGGGAGAGAAUGGGCUUAAGAGAUAUUAAGAAAGCAGAGUUAGUGGGAUUUGGGAACCUCAUAUGUCAGGAGGGAGUGAAACAGAAGAAUUGGGGGUGCUAGGCUUUUAGCUUAGACAACCGGAUUUGUGGAAAGGAAUUAUAAUUGACAGGUUUAGUCCUGGGUUACGAUGGAAAUGCCCAAGGAAGGGCACCAGGGGCCAUUACACAGAGGAAAGCACACUAUAUACAUACUCCAUAGACAAAAUCACAAGGUUUCUACAAAAAUCUGUAAAUCACCGAAAGUCCCUUCUGCUUCCCUGGGGCAAACCACUCUCCUUGGUGGUUUUCAGGAAGUCAGCUUGCCAAAAGACAAAAGGGAAGUCUCACUGUUUCACACACUGUGUGGUGUUUGCAUGUAUAAUCCUUGCCCUGCCUUUAUUCUACCAGUCUGUGCUUGAUUGGUCUCCCGCAUAUAUGAGUAAAUAUCAGCUGUGAUAAAUGUGUCAAAAUUGUUCUUCGAUAGUUAUUUCUGGACUCUCCAUCGAGAUCAGCGCACCUUAGUUCCCUCAUUGGAGCUUAUAUGUGGCAUCUCUUCUGGACACCUUGAAUUCUGAAUCGUCUUCCCUCGGCCCCUCUGGUAGGACUCUUUCAGUGGCCAUUAAGAUUUGUGACUCAGGGCACCUGAGUGGCUCAGUCAGUUGGCUUUUGAUUUUGGCUCAGGUCAUGAUCUCAUGGUUUGUCAGUUUGAGCCCCACAUCGGGUUCUGUGCUGACAGCCUGCUUGGGAUUCUCUCUCCCUCUCUCCCUUUCCCUCUCUCUUUCAAAAAUAAAUAAACUUAAAAAAAAAAUUUGUUACUCUUGCAUGCUGAAACCGGGUCCUGAACAGUUUUGUCUCAACAGCAGCUGCUUUUUUUUUUUUUUUUUCCAUUGGUGGACAAAAAGGUGGUUGUCAGGCCUUGAUUAUCUGAUCUCUGUUAAGUGGCAAAGACUGGGAGCUUAGUGUCUCUGUCUUUUUUUUUUUUUUUUGUUCCUGCUUUUCUUGAAGCUUCUACUAUUUUGGGAAGCCGGUAUGUAUGCCUUGAGAUCACAAUACAAUGAUUUAAUCAGGAACUUGCCACCCUCAAUUGUAACAUUGAAAAUUGUUAUGUCGGGGCACCUGGGUGGCUCAGUCGGUUAAGCGUCCGACUUCAGCUCAG